rnacentral:rRNA from 1 species
UCCAGACUCCUACGGGAGGCAGCAGUAGGGAAUUUUCGGCAAUGGGGGGAACCCUGACCCAGCAACGCCGCGUGAAGGAAGAAGGCUUUCGGGUUGUAAACUUCUUUUAAGAGGGAAGAGUAGAAGACGGUACCUCUUGAAUAAGCCACGGCUAACUACGUGCCAGCAGCCGCGGUAAUACGUAGGUGGCAAGCGUUGUCCGGAUUUACUGGGUGUAAAGGGCGUGUAGCCGGGCCGGCAAGUCAGAUGUGAAAUCCCAAGGCUCAACCUUGGAACUGCAUUUGAAACUGUUGGUCUUGAGUAUCGGAGAGGCAGGCGGAAUUCCUAGUGUAGCGGUGAAAUGCGUAGAUAUUAGGAGGAACACCAGUGGCGAAGGCGGCCUGCUGGACGACAACUGACGGUGAGGCGCGAAAGCGUGGGGAGCAAACAGGAUUAGAUACCCGGGUA